CUCCAACUCAACACUCACUCUACCCAAGACAGAUGUCACUCUGAAAAACAAUGAACUUUAAUGUGUAUAUCACUCUUCUGAUAUCUAUAGGACAGGCAGCCAGCAUGUUUCAACAGAAGGUCUCAGUGACCAAACCUCUGGGCAAAUCAGUAGUGAUAACCUGCGUAUACACGACUGGAUGCAGGGGAAACUACAUUCACUGGUACCAGAAAAAAGAUGGAGAAAGUUUCCAGAGAAUGUUGUACAUUGAUGCAGAUGAUGGCAGUACAUGGGCUGUGGAACUCAAUCAGGACAUCAGUGUGUCUGCAGCUGUGGGGAAAGAGGUCUCAAUUCACUGCAUUUAUGGAACUGGGUGUUGGGACUACAUCCACUGGUACCAGAAAAAGGAGGGAGAGAGCUUUAAGAGAAUAUUGUACAUCGGUAUAAACUCAGGAACCAAAGUAAAUGAUCCUGCUUAUGAAGAGUUCCGAGCAGUGAAAACUGGGAAAAUGUUUACUUUGAAAAUCCCGCAGUUGAAGUCCUUUCAUGCGGCAGUUUACUACUGUGCAUGCUGGUCCUCCCACAGUGAGAAUAACUGUGAAUGUCCUGUGCAAAAACACUGA